GAUGAACGCUAGCGGCAGGCCUAAUACAUGCAAGCCGAACGGUAAUUCUGAUAGCAAUAUUGGAACUAGAGUGGCGUAAGGGUGCGUAACACGUAUGCAAUCUACCCGCAACAGGAGGAUAGCUCCCCGAAAGGGGAAUUAACCCUCCAUGAGAUCACACGAGGGCAUCCGAGAGUGAUUAAAUUUGAGGAGGUUGUGGAUGAGCAUGCGACUGAUAGCUAGUUGGCAGUGUAACGGACUACCAAGGCGAUGAUCAGUAGGGGAACUGAGAGGUUGACUCCCCCACAC
rnacentral:rRNA from 1 species